rnacentral:rRNA from 1 species
CGGCAACAGCUCAAAUUUGAAAUCUGGCCUCUUUGGGGUCCGAGUUGUAAUUUGGAGAGGAUGUUUCGGGUACGGUCCGGGCUUAAAUUUCUUGGAACAGAGUGUCACAGAGGGUGAGAAUCCCGUCUGGAGUCCGGACACGGCCUAUGUGAAACUCCUUCGACGAGUCGAGUUGUUUGGGAAUGCAGCUCUAAAUGGGUGGUAAAUUUCAUCUAAAGCUAAAUAUUGGCCAGAGACCGAUAGCGCACAAGUAGAGUGAUCGAAAGAUGAAAAGCACUUUGAAAAGAGAGUUAAAAAGUACGUGAAAUUGUUGAAAGGGAAGCGCUGGCAACCAGACUUGCACGUCGGGGUUCCCCCUUGCUUUUGCCUGGGUUACUCCCCGGCGUUCAGGCCAACAUCGGUUUCGGGGGUUGGUUAAAGGCCUUGGGAAUGUACUUACCUUCCGGGGUAAACUUAUAGCCCAAGGUGUCAUGCGACCUCCCGGGACCGAGGAACGCGCUUCGGCUCGGAUGUUGGCGUAAUGGUUGUCAGCGACCCGUCUUGAAACGCGGACCAAGGAGUCUAACAUCUAUGCGAGUGUUAGGGUGUCAAACCCUUACGCGGAAUGAAAGUGAACGGAGGUAGGAAGCCGUUAGGCUGCACUAUCGACCGAUCCUGAAGUUUACGGAUGGAUUUGAGUAAGAGCAUAGCUGUUGGGACCCGAAAGAUGGUGAACUAUGCCUGAAUAGGGUGAAGCCAGAGGAAACUCUGGUGGAGGCUCGCA